GGCCAGACUCCUACGGGAGGCAGCAGUGGGGAAUAUUGCACAAUGGGGGGAACCCUGAUGCAGCGACGCCGCGUGGGUGAAGGAGUAUUUCGGUAUGUAAAGCCCUCUCAGCAGGGAAGAACAAUGACGGUACCUGACUAAGAAGCCCCGGCUAACUACGUGCCAGCAGCCGCGGUAAUACGUAGGGGGCAAGCGUUAUCCGGAUUUACUGGGUGUAAAGGGAGCGUAGACGGCAGUGCAAGUCCGGAGUGAAAGCCCGGGGCUCAACCCUGGGACUGCUCUGGAAACUGUAAAGCUGGAGUGCGGGAGGGGCAGGCGGAAUUCUUGGUGUAGCGGUGAAAUGCGUAGAUAUCAGGAGGAACACCGGCGGCGAAGGCGGCCUGCUGGACCGUAACUGACGUUGAGGCUCGAAAGCGUGGGGAGCAAACAGGAUUAGAUACCCGGGUACA
rnacentral:rRNA from 1 species